GAUGAACGCUGGCGGCGUGCUUAACACAUGCAAGUCGAACGGGAAACCUUUUAUUGAAGCUUCGGCAGAUUUAGCUGGUUUCUAGUGGCGGACGGGUGAGUAACGCGUGGGUAACCUGCCUUAUACAGGGGGAUAACAGUCAGAAAUGGCUGCUAAUACCGCAUAAGCGCACAGAGCUGCAUGGCUCAGUGUGAAAAACUCCGGUGGUAUAAGAUGGACCCGCGUUGGAUUAGCUGGUUGGUGGGGUAACGGCCCACCAAGGCGACGAUCCAUAGCCGGCCUGAGAGGGUGAACGGCCACAUUGGGACUGAGACACGGCCCAGACCCCUACGGGAGGCAGCAGUGGGGAAUAUUGCACAAUGGGGGAAACCCUGAUGCAGCGACGCCGCGUGAAGGAAGAAGUAUCUCGGUAUGUAAACUUCUAUCAGCAGGGAAGAUAAUGACGGUACCUGACUAAGAAGCCCCGGCUAACUACGUG
rnacentral:rRNA from 1 species